AUUGAACGCUGGCGGCAGGCCUAACACAUGCAAGUCGAGCGGAUGAAGGGAGCUUGCUCCUGGCUUCAGCGGCGGACGGGCGAGUAAUGCCUAGGAAUCUGCCUGGUAGAGGGGGCUAACGUAAGGAAACGGGAGCUAAUACCGCAUACGUCAUGAGGGAGAACGUGGGGGAUCUUCGGACCUAACGCUAUCAGCUGAGACUAGGUCGGAUUAGCUAGUUGGUGGGGUAAAGGCCUACCAAGGCGACGAUCCGUAACUGGUCUGAGAGGAUGAUCAGACACACUGGAACUGAGACACGGUCCAGACUCCUACGGGAGGCAGCAGUGGGGAAUAUUGGACAAUGGGCGAAAGCCUGACGCAGCCAUGCCGCGUGUGUGAAGAAGGUCUUCGGAUUGUAAAGCACUUUAAGUAGGGAAGAAGGGCAGUAAGAUAAUACCUUGCUGUCUUGACGUUACCAACAGAGAAAGCCCCGGCUAACUUCGUG
rnacentral:rRNA from 1 species